UUCGUCCAAACUCCUUGCUCCAUGCAUAUGCACUUCAUUCCAAGCCCAAUUUUGCUCCUAAAAGCUCCAAAAUGCUCCUUUUUGCAUACUUUGACAAUAAACCUGAAAUUGCACAAAAUGACUUUAAACACUAAACUAACUAAGGAAAAACAACAUAAAUGCAUGAGAACAAGCUAAUUAAGUCGCAUAAAAAUGCUCCUAUCAAUGCUCAUAUGAACUACAUCUACAACAUUUGAGAUGGCAAAUUUUCUAACAAAAUUUACAUUCAAAGAAGCAAGAAUAAAGCUUGUAACAUAUUACAACAUUUGAAUCAAAGACUAUGAACUACAAAACCCAAAAGGAUUCACCAACUACUAGACCUAGGCUCUGAUACCACUUGAAGGAAAUUUUGUGAAAAACAUGUUCAUUUAAGCAACAUCUAUAGCAUGCAAUUAACAAUUAAAAGGCGGAAUCAUGCUUGUAUGCACUUAAAAACAAAACAUUAACCAUGAAAUUCAAAGCCUAGUAGAUUGGUGAAUCUUGACUCAACUUAAAACAACAUUUGUUAGUUGAGAAAUUAUACCUUUAUAGAUUCCUCUUUGCAUAAGCAAAGGCUAAUCACCCAAAGAGAGGGCCUUCAUUCCUUGCAUCUUAGAUCUAUGGAUUUGGAUGGAUGAAAUGGUUUCUCCAAGUUCCCAAAAAUUGAGAACCUCUAAGUCUCUUCACCAAGGUUAGAUUGGAGAAGAAAUGAGUGACCUUGGAGUAGUAGGAUUGCUAGCUAAACCCUCCAAGGAGGCCGGCCACUUUAGAGAGAAAGGAAAGCUUAUGUUCUCAUCCUUUCCCCAAAAGGAAACCCUUAAUGAAUUUUGGCUAUAAAGUCAUAUUUAUACCUUUAUUCAUUGGAGUGGCAAACUUGUAAUUAAGU
rnacentral:lncRNA from 1 species